AAGUGUUACAGCUCUUUUAGAAUUUGUCUAGCAGGUUUUCUGACUUCGGUCGGAAAACCCCU
ensembl:snRNA Rnu7 U7 small nuclear RNA